rnacentral:lncRNA from 1 species
CUAUCCUACUCAAAAAUUUGGACAUGAGGUUCAUCGGGUUUUCUUCGAUACUGAACUUCGAUAGGCAGAGACAUAUGUUUUGCUAAACUGCGUGGAGGCCAUCCAUAAGUCCUAUAAGUAUCAAUCAUAAUCCUAACUCUUUGAUCACUUAUUUUAGUAUAAUUAUUUUAUGCAUGUUUAGGCAAUAUGAUGUGAUGCAUAGUCAUUGAUAGUACCAAAAAUAACUCUACUCACUACGUAGGUAGGAUGAGUCGAGAUCGUAUCCUCAGGGAUCUUGGGCUAAGUUAAGAUUGCAAAAUAAAAGAAAGAAGCAUUGUUUUGAUUUAAAAAAAAUAAAUUAUCUUAAAAUUGAUAUAAUUAAAAAAUAAAGAGCUCGAAAGUUUUGAAUUAAUUUUGCACUAGUAGAGUUGUAUCUCUUUUUUUUAAUUAAAUAGAUGCGAUUAAUCUUAAAAAAAAUAUCUAUCUUUCCUCGACACACUCCAUACCC